rnacentral:lncRNA from 1 species
UGCCUUUAUGUAGGAAAAAAACAUUUAUAAUGCAAAUUAGGACAUACAAUAAUCUUACAGUAUUAUACAAUGUAAUGAAAAUAAAAACAUAGCAGUUUGUCCUUUAUAAAAUGUGUAUUUUGCAUUUACUAAUGCAAAUGUGGCACACUGGUGACUACUGUACUAUUACUAUCAGUCUGUUUCCAUGCUAUAACUGUCCAAUUGUCAUAGAAUUGUAACUGUAAUGAUGCUACAAAAGAACUGUUAUAUCAAAAAAAAAGAGGAAGUAGAAAUGGGGAAUUGAGAUGUAAAGAACAAGAAAAGACAUGAUGCUGGUUUGUGCAGAAUACAUUGUGUUAUGUCAUAAAAUAUCAUUAACUUUUCAAGCCAAAAACAUUUUCUAUACAUUCUGUAAUUUCGUACCAAUGCUUUUAUUCAAAUUUGGCAAACAUCAAGGAAAAGGUAAUUAGUACCAUAUACCUCAUAUAUCAGAAAUAUGAAUGAGAUGCCAAUAUAUCAGUUACUUCUGAACGAUGUCUCUGAUGGUAUGUCUGUUUCAAGAAUAUAUAUGUGUGUGUGUGUGUGUGUGUGUAUACAUACAUACUACGCAUUGCACAAAACACUUGGGCAUUAUGGGUUAGGAACAGCACAGGGGAUUUGGGGAGUACUUUUUAGCUAGCUAAAACUUUUCCCUUGAGGCAAACACAGGGUGGCACAUUGUUGGGAAAUUAUGAAAACGUAAGGCCCCUGUCCCAUUUUUAAUAGAACAUUAUUGAGGUACAUUUUUAUAUGCUGUGCCACAGAUGAGGGGGAGGAUAAACACCAGUUUGACUUAUUUUCACAACAUUGAAAUGAGGGUCAACAUUAAUAUCUAUAAAAACAAAGAUUGCUUGGCAAAUUUUCUUAAGUCCCAAAUGUGAUCUAUUGUGGAUAUACUGGGAAUGAAAAGCUUUUUUACUGAGUCUUCAAGAGUAAAGUGCAUAUCUCAUCACUCCACAGCAGCAGUAAAUAAAAGGAACUAUUUGCCAAUCUUCUGGAGGGAGGGAAGGCACCAUUAUUUUCAUUUCUUUAAAAAAGAUGAAACAGGGAAAUGAAACACACUAAGAAAAACACAGGUAAUACCCACAUCAGCUUCUAACCCUGAUCUGGGAUAAAUGCUGUUAUGAUCUAUAUGGAUAAAAGAGGCUUCUAUUUGGGGGGUGGGGCAAACCCAAAUAAUGGGAUCACAUGAUCUAUCAACAAAAAUGGGCACCUAGAAUUAGGUUCACCUCAGAAAAUCUGAGACAUAUGGCCAUAUUUAUAUGUCAAUAAAAUAUCUCAUGCUAAAAUGCACCUAGUAAUAGGUACACUCUUUCCAAGACAGCUUAAUGCCCAUUACUAGAGUACUGCAAAGGGCAAGUAGUAUUCUAA